GACGAACGCUGGCGGCGUGCUUAACACAUGCAAGUCGAACGGAAAGGCCCUGCUUUUGUGGGGUGCUCGAGUGGCGAACGGGUGAGUAACCCGUGAGUAACCUGCCCUUGACUUUGGGAUAACUUCAGGCAACUGGGGCUAAUACCGGAUAGGAUCUCCUGCUGCAGGGUGGGGGUGGGAUAGUUUCGGUGGUUGGGGAUGGACUCGCGGCGUAUCAGCUUGUUGGUUGGGUAGUGGCUUACCAUGGCAUGGACCGGUAGCCGGCCUGCGAGGGGCAGCGGACCAACUGGGACUGAGCUAAGGCCCAGACCCCUACGGGAGGCAACGGGGGGGAAUAGUGCACAAUGGGCGGGAGCAUGAUGCGACCACGCCGCGUGGGGGAAGACAGCAAUGGGGUUGGGAAGCGAUUUCGCCUGUGACGAAGCGAGAGUGACGGUAAUGGGAAAAGAAGCACCGGCUAACUACGUG
rnacentral:rRNA from 1 species